CAACCUGGACUCACUUCCAUGCCCCAGCAUCUCAGUGAAGAACUUACCUGCAAAACAAUGAUGACCAUGAAGUCCCAUGUACAACUCUGCCUUCUCUUUAUAAAACUCCACACCCUAGCACCACCCCCCGUACAACAGCAUCAACUACCAGAGAACACCACAUCAUGACCCCAGG